rnacentral:rRNA from 1 species
AUACGGAGGGUGCAAGCGUUAUUCGGAAUCACUGGGCGUAAAGGACGCGUAGGCGGGUUGGCAAGUCAGAUGUGAAAUCCUACAGCUUAACUGUAGCACUGCAUUUGAAACUGCUAACCUAGAGUAUGGGAGGGGGAGAUGGAAUUAGUGGUGUAGGGGUAAAAUCCGUAGAUAUCACUAGGAAUACCGAAAGCGAAGGCGAUCUCCUGGAACAUAACUGACGCUAAGGCGUGAAAGCGUGGGGAGCAAACAGGAUUAGAUACCCUAGUAGUCC